AAAAAAAAAAAAAAUUAGUGAAGAGUGGAAUUGUUCUACAAUUUUGCAAAUGUCUUUAAUGUCUGGCUUAAUUGAACACAGGUGGAUUCUCCUAUCUGCUUCUACAUUCCAUCUUGGGAUACUUCAUUUUGGUCGAAGCAUAUGAGGAAAAUCCAGCCUCACACAGGUCCUGUCUCAAGCCUGACAUCACACACUCCUGAAUGGACUACCACCUGGACCCAGUGAACUCAAGCUGGGUGCACACUGGAGGGGGGUUCUGAGAGCUCACGCCCAGGGACCGGACGUUGUGCUGCGGAGAACUACAGUUCUUGUUCUUGGUGCCAGGACAAAGCCCCGUGCUGGAUGUCUG